CCCAUCAAUGACCAAGUCUUUGCAUGACGUAAAUUCGGUUGGAUAGAAAUGUCAACUAGAACAAAAGAAGGCAGUUUUGGAAGUGGUUUGGGGGAAACAAAAGGUUCAUCUUGACUGCAAAACAUUGCCAUCUAAUGAGAAUAUAUUGUCAAGCUUCUAUACAAAAAGAUAAAGUUUAUAACAGAUGGACUUCAAGUCAUUGAUUCCCGCCACAAAAAUUUUUGUGCACAGAUGAGGAAAGACGAUGACUAAAUUCGAAAUGACUGGGUAGAAAGUUACAAGUUCAUUUGGUUGCAAAUGCAUAUGAGAUUAACAGGUAUAAGCAUAAAAAGCCAAAUUCAUCAAAUGGUACAACAAAGAUCAGGCAA